rnacentral:rRNA from 1 species
GACAGAGGGUGCAAACGUUGCUCGGAAUUACUGGGCGUAAAGCGCGUGUAGGUGGAUUGGUGUGUCAGAUGUGAAAUCCCUGGGCUCAACCCAGGAACUGCACCUGAAACUACCAGUCUUGAGUGGUGGAGAGGGAAGUGGAAUUCUCGGUGUAGCGGUGAAAUGCGUAGAUAUCGAGAGGAACACCUGCGGCGAAGGCGGGUUGCUGGGCCGACACUGACGCUGAGGCGCGAAAGCCAGGGGAGCGAACGGG